rnacentral:rRNA from 1 species
GAUGAACGCUGGCGGCGUGCCUAAUACAUGCAAGUCGAGCGGUAAGGCCCUUCGGGGUACACGAGCGGCGGACGGCUGAGUAACACGUAGGAACCUACCCCAAACUGAGGGAUAAGCACCAGAAAUGGUGUCUAAUACCGCAUGUGCUCUACGGAGUAAAGCUUCGGCGGGUUGGGACGGGCCUGCGUCCGAUUAGCUAGUUGGUGGUAUAAAAGACUACCAAGGCGACGAUCGGUAGCUGGUCUGAGAGGAUGAUCAGCCAGACUGGGACUGAGACACGGCCCAGACUCCUACGGGAGGCAGCAGUAGGGAAUUUUCCACAAUGGGCGAAAGCCUGAUGGAGCAACGCCGCGUGCAGGAUGAAUGCCUUCGGGUUGUAAACUGCUUUUAUCUGUGACGAAUAUGACGGUAGCAGAUGAAUAAGGACCUGCUAACUACGUGCCAGCAGCCGCGGUAA